UGCUCAUAAGUAUUAAUCUCUGAAAGACUUCAACACAUAUAGAUAUUUCUUUGAGAGAACAUCCAUCAAGAGAAAGAAAAAAUGGUAUUUUUGCUGCAAAAUUUUACUCUGACCAGCCCGCUUCAAAUUAUAUUUUUCGAUUCAUUCUAAGGCCCGAUAAAGGUUCGCCAAGGAUUUAGGUAUUUAUGGUUACAAUGUAAGCUAGUGUGUUUGGAGGGUUGUAGAUAAUUUUCAUGGCGAGCUUCUGAGUCUUGGUGUGGAUUUUUGGACUGUACAAGACAUUCUUUUGUGCAUAAAAUGGCAUUUUUGUGGCUUAUUAUACGACCGCAGAUCUAUUUCGUUGACUACGAUAUCAUCACAGAAUGAGUUAGAAGCAACACAAUUUUGAUGGACAUUUCGUGGUGCAUUAUGCGAUCGCGAAUCUGACCAGAUCCAACCCAGAUUGUAAAGACCAUUUUGUGGGUUGUUCCACUGACCACGAAUUUGUUCCUUUAACCGCAGUUCCGUUGCAGAUUUGACAUCGAGGGGUUAUUUUUUUUUAAUUUCCUAAUUCGACUCUAUUUUGAGAUAAGGCCUUGGAGGGUUAUUUUAGAAGGUAUAACCUAAUAUUUUAGAGAGAGAGGGAUAAGCUCUAUCAUUUCCACACUUCAAAUUCUUGCUCAAAUUUUAGGUAUUCAUUAAGGAAAGUUCACAAGGUCUUCUACUAAAGAGGUGGUACCUUAACAGGCAGCAUGGACCCUUGAUAGCAGCAUACCCUCCACUCAGCGGAGUUGGUUAGCCCUACUCUACACCUGGGCCCAUAUGUUGUAUUGCUUUCUUUCACAUUACUUUUGAGGUUGCAGCAUAGGUUCACAUUACCUCCAUUGGAGAUUCAAGGCUUCCCUCAAGUUGGUUAUGCUGAUACCAAGAUGCCUCAAUCAAGUUUUACUCAAUCUACAAAUCAAACGGAUUUUUUCCUACUCCAGGUAUGUUAAGGCUAUCCCUUCUUUCUUUUGGCAUGAUCCAU